AUUGAACGCUGGCGGAAUGCUUUACACAUGCAAGUCGAGCGGCAGCGCGGGGCAACCUGGCGGCGAGCGGCGAACGGGUGAGUAAUGCAUCGGAACAUGUCCAUGUCGUGGGGGAUAGCCCGGCGAAAGCCGGAUUAAUACCGCAUAUGCUCGAGAGAGGAAAGCCGGGGACCGCAAGGCCUGGCGCGAUUGGGUUGGCCGAUGUCCGAUUAGCUAGUUGGUGAGGUAAAGGCUUACCAAGGCGAUGAUCGGUAGCUGGUCUGAGAGGAUGAUCAGCCACACUGGGACUGAGACACGGCCCAGACUCCUACGGGAGGCAGCAGUGGGGAAUUUUGGACAAUGGGGGCAACCCUGAUCCAGCCAUUCCGCGUGAGUGAAGAAGGCCUUCGGGUUGUAAAGCUCUUUUGUCCGGAGCGAAACGGGCGCGGCUAAUACCUGCGUCUACUGACGGUACCGGAAGAAUAAGCACCGGCUAACUACGUGCCAGCCGCCGCCGUAAGAC
rnacentral:rRNA from 1 species